CAUACACUCAAGGGUAAAGAAAAUGUAUUUUUUUCCUCCUUUAAAACAUAAAACCGGGAUAUGAACAGUAUAAAUAGAACACACAACAGUCAUAACCACUUUAUAUUUUGUUUUAAUCAUCCGGAUUUACUGUCGAUGUUUCGAUUUUCCUCAUAUACAAAUUCAUCUUGUUCUGAAGUUGAUGACCUAGAAAUUUUUGCAUAAUGAAACAUGCUAUUUACACCGCGUAUGACACACACAAAAAUAUACAAAAGUGUUUAAAAGGCUUUUGCUGUGUGAAAAGCAUGGAAGAUACAUUUCAUGUUUUGACCGAGGGGACAAACCAACAAGCACUGCUAUUGCGCUUCCUCCAUCUACUCCAGAGAUGUGAGUAUCUCCCUGUCAGACCAAUAGUCAGUGCUGAGAGCUUUGAUAAUAUGGGGAAUCGAUUCUCCCAAAUCUCAGCUAGUCAACUGUCACUUUUAAGACCAAACAGGAUGGGAGAUCAAUGCUUAGAGCAAUCUUUGAAGCUCUUCUCUCUCUCUCUCUCUCUCCAGCCAUGUUGGAAGAGGGGACAAACAGGAAUGGAAUUUGACAGGGGCCCAUUUCCCCCAUCUGGUGGCAUCAUCACACUGUCCAAUUUCUUGAGUUGGGCCUGAGAUAUACAAAACAUGAUGGCAUUGUGAAAAAAGGUAGAUGGAUCUACUUGGGGUGGAGAUGCCAUUUUGAGAGGCCUUAAUGUGCCAUGCCUAACAUGAGGUUGUGAACUUCCUCUGGUGGAAGUGAAGGGCAUGUAUUGGGUGGAUGUGAGUUAAGGAGUGUAAACAGAGGGAUGAUGCACAGAAGCUCAGGUGUAGGAUUUUUUCCUUAAAACCUCACAAAGCACCUUUUGAAUGUGCCACACCCAAUCGUGAGGGGUAUAUGGGCAUGUGUGGGGAAGCCGCUUUUGCACAUGGGUCUCUCAUCCUGGACCCGACCAAUCAUCUAUUGCUAUUCACCUCACAAGCCCCAGCGAGAAAAUGGAAAGAGCACAGCAGCAGUGUUUGCCGUGUUGUUCCUCAGCACUAUAAAUGCAUACAGACUGAUAUAGAUUAAUUCCAAUCUGAAAUGGCUAUUGACAUUAUACCUCAUGUUUCACCCAUGACAGGAAAUACAUGGGAUGCGAACCAAGUGGAAAUGACCAAAGAGAAAACAUUGUUGGGAACUGUACAUACUUUGAGAGGUGGGUUCAGCUGGGAGGGAAAUGUAAAUCAAAUAUUUCUGACGCUGCAGAUUAUAUUAGCCGUUGAAAAACACACGCCUCACAGAUACUUUUGUAUAUGGAAGCAAUGUGGAAUGAUGGCAUUGCAAUUGCUAUUUGAUAUAUCUAGUACAGUUUCCAAACAAACAAAAAAUUGCCCAUGGCAUAGUGGUAUAAUAAAAUAGCAGAUGUACACUAUUAUUUACACUGCAAACUAAAUAAGAGAUAAUGACCUUAUGAAAAUGCAUCAAAUUGCUCAGAAUAGUAAAAAUCACAGACCUGAUUCAUAAAAUAUAUGCAUAUGUAUAUGUAUAUUAUAUAUAUAUAUUUAUAUAUACUUAUAUAUAGUAUAUGAACAUGUAUAAAAUUUAAUGGAGCAGGAACAUAAGGAUUAUUUAUGUUGCUAAAAUACCUACUAGAGACUUUUUUAAAAAACUGGGUUCUCCAUUCCACCAGAAAUGGACGUUUCAGAAUUGAACUAAAACCCACAUGACCUAGAAGCUCCACGGCAGAGUUGCAGAAUCUCCUGCAUAUGUGGAGCUCUGUUUGAGAAGCAGCCACCCCAUUCACUCCUAUAGGAAUUCCCAUAAGGUGCUUUUCCCCCUGGUAAAGUCAGUGAAGCAGUUCUCCCUCACGCUGAACUCUGUGGGUGCAAUGCAGCUAAAGUUAAAAAGCCUUUUGGCUGCCACUGAUACUAAUGGAAGAAUUAAGCAUGUCCUUAAAAUUUUGCUCAUUGGAACAAGCGGGGAUUAAGGCUGCAGUCCUGAGCACUCUUAAAGGGGUAGCCACACCACUGAACUUACUAGGGCUUACUUCUAAGUUAACACAGAACUGUGCUCCGUUUAAAUUUGAGUGGUUGAUGCCCUACGAGUGCAAAAGGGAUCAAUGGAGCUUUUUACAACUGUGUGUCACAGGGCUUUUAUUUUAUUUCUUUACAAACCUGUCACUGUGAAAAAGCAGCACUGCCAUGAAAGAAAGGAAAGGAAGUCAGUGUUACAAACAUGGGCCCAAUCCAAAGCUUUAUGCCUGGUUUUGGAUCCCCACACACCAUAUAUAUAUGUGUGUGUGUGUGUGUGUGUGUGUGACCAAUCACAUUCUGCACACGCAAUGGAUGAUUAUAACAUCUAGCUUAAAAUGUUAUUUAAAUUAUGUUUAGGCAAGAAGAAUGAAAUACAAUGACAAUCAUACGUCAAGUGGUAUUCGAAAACUUUCCUCAAGAGAUGACACGAUCAAUGGAAGAGGGGAAACAGCACCCCAUUCUGACAUUUCGUUCAGUCAAAUAAUUAAAGCAUGUUGGCAUCUCCACGUUCUUAAGUGACCUCCAGCAAAGUCACUCCAAAGACAUCUAUGCCUUCUAUUCUACAUGAAGUCUGUCCAAUCAGACAAGCAUAUUUGGCCACUGAAUGCCACUGAUAAUUUCCCACCAACUUUCCAUUUUUGGGCAAAAAACCCCCUCAAUUUUGGUAGGAUUAGUCACACCAUUAAACUCUACACACUAUUGUAAGCACUUAAGAGGGCUUAUUGAGAAGGCUUCAGUUCUGAAAGCAGAAUGCUACAUUUAUAUUUAUAUUUUUUAAAAAGUCCCUCUUUCUUUUGUGGAGAAGCACAUAACAGAAUUUUAGAGGGAGAGACAAACACUCUUCAGUGGCGCGCUUUUACGUGCCAAAGAUCAGGUAGGAGAAGACAUUGCUCUGAGUUUGGGAAAAGUUGCUGCCUCUUGUAGUAGAAAAUAUUCCAUGAGAAGGACAGCUAAUCUGACCUCAUUGAAAGCUGCUUAUGCUGUAAAUUUACAUUAGCCAUGUACUGUACCCCAUCUCUUAUUGGCCUCUGUUAAUUCACAUACACGUUGGUAAAUUUUGCCUUGUGACCUAUUAGAAAUAUCUAGUGAACAGCAUUAUGAUGGAGCUGUGAAAAGGCCUGGAGAUCAGCAUAUACCUGUGUAUAAGUUUUCCAGAUUUAAAAAAAUGCUCUUAUACUUUCCAUAGCGACAUUUACAUUUCAACUUUAAUAAUGAAAAAAAGUGCAAAGGCUCUAACUCAGCUGUGUCCUCAUGGAAACACAUGCAUAUAGCAAUAAUCACACUGGUUAGUUGAUUGGCAGGGGAAAUAAAGCAUGGAGGACUGAAUCCAGAUACUCACCGUUUCUUUUAAAAAUUCAUUGAUUGGAUCUCAAAUUUUAUUUUAUAAGGGUCUACAUGAGCACAGCAGAAGUCAGAGGGAGUGACAGAAGAUGCUAAAAAAUAAUGACUGACGAAUUGGAGAACAAGUUGAAGAAAUGCCCGUAUCCCUGAGUCCUUAAAGUUUCAGAGACUUUAGCAAUCUGAACAGCACGAAUAAAAUUAUUGAACUGAGAUGCUGAAUUAUUCCCCCCUCCCCCUUUUUAUGAAUCAGGUACUGUGUCAAGAUCACACAUGAAAUAGCUGAUUAAUUUUUCUUUUUCUCUUUAAAAACCCCUUUUUUGUCAGCAAUAUUAUAAAAUGUGGCAGACUGGUCGAGGGUUAGAAAAUAUGGGUGUGGAAGAAGUAGACGCUGACACUGUUCUUUAUUGUCAUCGUAUUAAUAAUGUUUGGAAAAAAGCAAGUCGCCUCUGCUUGGUGCAGCGAAUAUUAGAAAACGGCAUUCUGUUUAUAAACAUUUAUAAGAAAUAGCUUACCGCUAUGGAGGCUUUGACUGAGAAGAUGCAGAGUAGAGUAAAUAUUGCUUUACCUUUUAUUUAUUUAUUUAAAAUAAAGAGUGUACUUUAGGCUUACUAAUAUGGCAACAAACAAGGUUCUCCAAGACAAAGUAAAAACAUUGCGCUGUAAUACAGACACGCACACGGGCCGUCGCACACGCACACACACAGCAUUGAAGCAAGAGAUUUCGUUACAGAAGGCAGAUGAGGAGUCACAACACACAUCAGAGGAGUUAUUACAAGGUAAGCUCAAAAGAUGUUUUCGUUUAGAAGUGGUGCUGCAAUUCUCAGGCAAACUGGAGGAGCAAAGUCUCCCUUGGCUGACUGCAGGCCCAGCUUUUCUUUACCUCAGUAGCAUAAGGGUGGCCAUUUUGUGUGACCCAGAUGGGCCAUGGCUCCUGAUUCACUCUUUUUCCUGUGGGAAAGACUACCAAUGUUUCCUGUGGUAAAAAGCUGCCAAUGUUUGGUGCCGCUGUUAACCAACGCUGUGGUAAGCUAAUGAUGAGAAUUGUGUCUUUUUGUGUACUGUAAAAUUUCUUUUAACUGUUAGUAACAAAGACAAAAUGACUGCCACCAGCACAGCAGUUCUGCCAUUUUUGUACGGAGAUGCCUACACUCGUGGCGCUUCAGGUUGCUUCCUGAUGUGAACAAUAGACAUUUUCUACGCAACCACAAUAAGCAUGAAGGAACCAAGUGUUGACAUGUGCCUAUGACUAUGACUUCAAGUGCCCGCUUCCGCCGUGCUGAUGGAAGACAGUGGGACACCAGCAGAAAUGCUGUGGCCCAACUUAUUUUGGGUCAAGCACCAUCUAAGGGACUGAUCAACUGAUACUCAUGAAAUAUGGUUGCUUUCUAAUGUCUCCCAGACUAAGUUGCUCCUGAAAAAAAAUUGUAUCGCAUGAAACAUGUUGGCCAACAGCCUUUCUACCGAAACAAAUACUUCCUAGCAUCUCUUGAGCUUAUCUCCCCUUCUGGUUUCCUCUGCUAAUUGGUGUUGCCCUCCAUUUCAGUUCUUGUUUCCAAAGCAUGGAGUUUUUUUUGGGGGGAAGCACAACACAAAAGGAAUGCUCUGAAUCAACAACAGCUGCAGAGGUACCCUUUGCAAAUGCCCUGUUCUCCCAAAAGGCAACCAUCAGCAAAGCUUCAUCUCAAGUAAUGCAAGUGAAUCUUGUAGGAAAGGGAUAUUGCUCAGUGAUAGAAUCCAUGCUUUCUAUACUGAUGGUCCCAACAUCAAUCCAUUCAAUCUCAUGUAAAUCUGGGCUGGGAAAGACCUCUGCCUAAGUCUUUGGAGAGCUGUUUUCAGUUGGCAUAGUCAUAGGGCCGGCCCUACCAUUAGACAAAACGAGGCAGCUGAUUCUGUAUAUCAUAAAAGCCAAGCAAUUUAUUCUUUUUUACCUCUCAGGCAGAUACGUUUCUCAGAUAUUUUGCUGCCUCAGGUGCACACCAGUGAAGGAAGUAAUUAAGUUUUUGUUCCUCCUCUUCUAACACAACUGCUUUCCAGUAAUCCCUAGUCAAUAUUCUCCACUGUUUUGCUAUUAUGUUUACUAUUUACCUCAUAUACCAACAUCACUCAAGUAACAAGGCCAUCUAUCUAUCCCAUAUUAUGAAUGAUUAAGUCCCACUGGCUUCAGUGAGAAAGGUUUAAGUGUGAGCUUAAUUCUCCAACAGAUCAAUGGGAACUUAAAUGCAAUUCAUUGUGGAUGGAUCAUGCCCCAGAUUUGGUCUAUUCAAGUAGGUAAUUUAAAUCUUUGGUUGGAUGUAAAUUCAGUUGUUUUGGGGGAGGCAAUCCUAACUCAAUCAUCACAAAGCAGACACCACUUCCAGAAAUGGUGACUAUUUGAUGGCCAUCCACAAACCAGCUAAACACUACUGCUGGUAUCCCCAGUAACGAACGUAUGAGCUUUAAAUGUAAUAAAGUAAACACAACACUUCCAUGCAUGCCCACCCUUUGCCCCUCUUGUUGCAGCAUCUCACACGGUGUCAGAUCCUGCCCCCACCCCAAAUACCCUCAAGCCCUCAUAACGUAGGACCAUCUCCAUCCCUACCAGCUCCAUCCCUACCAACCUUCUUGAGCAUGAAGAUCUGCAGAGUAGGCUUGGUAGUUUUGCCACCCUCAGAAGUAGAGGGAAUGUCAGCCUGGGAAGGGGCUUUCUCUGUGGAAGCCCAAAAUGAGGAACUCUCUCCCUAUAGAAGUAUGCAAGGCAUCUUCACUAUACAGCAUUCAGCAUAUGCUGAAGGUGCAUUUUUUACCCUGGCCUUUGACAGGCAAGGUAUUUUGACUUGUGGGACCCACCUCUUCUGCUGAAUUUAGGACGUUCUGUUUUAUUUGGGUUAUUUUUACAUCUUUUAUCAUUUUAAUGGUUUUAUUUGUUUUUAUAAUUAUAUAUUCUAUUGUUGUAACCUGCCCUGGGAAUUUAUGGUGAAGGGCAGGCAAUAAAUUUCAUAAACAAAUAAAGGCAUGGCUUUUCCAGGCGCAUAAGUGAUUGCUUCUGAUUCCUAAACCAGCUGUUAAACUACCUUCAGCCUGUACCUAUGCAUUUUUUCUGAGACAUAAACCCAGUUGAGUUAAAUUGGACUUCCUUGGCUUUGAGACCAUGACCUUAAUUUUGCUUUCCCGGCUACCAUAAUAACUCUUAUUUCUAAGAAGCCUAAAAUGUUUGGCCAUAUGCUUACACCACCAGAGGGCACACUGCAUGCUUGAAAUUAUAAGCACCUUUUUUUG
rnacentral:lncRNA from 1 species